rnacentral:rRNA from 1 species
GAUGAACGCUGGCGGCGUGCCUAAUACAUGCAAGUCGAGCGAACCUCUUCGGAGGUUAGCGGCGGACGGGUGAGUAACACGUGGGCAACCUACCUUGUAGAUGGGGAUAACAUCGAGAAAUCGGUGCUAAUACCGAAUAACACUUUUCUCCACAUGGGGAAAAGUUAAAAGUUGGCUUUUGCUAACACUACAAGAUGGGCCCGCGGCGCAUUAGCUAGUUGGUAAGGUAACGGCGCACCAAGGCGACGAUGCGUAGCCGACCUGAGAGGGUGAUCGGCCACACUGGGACUGAGCCACGGCCCAGACUCCUACGGGAGGCAGCAGUAGGGAAUCUUCCGCAAUGGACGAAAGUCUGACGGAGCAACGCCGCGUGAGUGAUGAAGGCCUUCGGGUCGUAAAACUCUGUUGUUAGGGAAGAAUAAGUACCGUUCGAAUAGGGCGGUACCGUGACGGUACCUAACCAGAAAGACACGGCUAACUACGUGCCAGCAGCCGCCGUAA